rnacentral:misc_RNA from 1 species
UCACGAAGCCCACCAUCCAGAGAGCAGCCGAAGAGGGAGCCGGAGCUAAACAAAAAUCGAUUCUCGUCUCCUGUCGCGUUCUGUUUUCCAUUCUGUCGUCGUCGGUCGUCGUCAAUUCAAAGAUGUCCGCCGCCAAGUGAAAAUAUGUGUUUUGGUGUUGUGCACGUCCUUCAGCCACUUUCCAAGUGAUUUUUCUCGUGAAAACUAACUAAAAUCGGCCGUGAAUAGGUCGCGAGCGGAUGCGUCAAUGUCGUAACAAUCGAAAUGCAUUCGAAUUUCGGGAAUUUGUGAGGUUUUAAGGUGGAAAAACUGCGAUCGCUGGCAAUUGGCUUCGGGGGGAAAAAUCGUUGACGGUGCAGUUUGUGCGAUUGUGUGUGGAGUGUGUGGAGUGGAAAGAUGUUUGCAUCAGCACCAGGCUCGGCAGACGUUGGAAAAGCGGAGGCAAAGCGGUCCUUGUUUCGGUCGUCGCAGCGGCACUAGCGCGAGCACCACGAAUUUCCUAAAAUUCAUUGAUUUUCGUUCGCCUGUUUGGCUGCGGGUCCUUGUCGCCGUUAUUGUCGUUGUAGUCGUUGUUGUUGUUGUUGUCAUCCAUCUGUGCUGGUCCUGAUCCGCGUCGUUGUCGUCGUCGUUGCCGUUUCUGUGUCGUUCUCGUCGCUGUGUCCUGUCACUUGUCCGCCUGACGUCUCCGUGUGUCGUCGUCCGUUUUCCGCAUUUUCCGGAUUUUCCGAGAGAGCCUGCCAAUCGCUUCACCGCAUAAAUAAAUAAUUUGUAUUUAUAAUUUGCAACCGCGGCGGAGGGAAGCGGAGUCCUUCCCAGUUGUCGUGCUCGUCCCAUUCGCGGAGUGUCGUCGGAAGGAUCUUGAGUGGAGCCAGAUGUCCUCGGGACGAGAGUGAACACGGGAAAAGCCAGGAAAACCAAACAAGCUCGGCAAGUCCUGCUUCGCGUUCAGAUUGAUGAAGUGCGUGCCUAGCGAGAGGUCCUGCCGUGUUCAGUUGCGCGAGAGUUCGGCGGAGUGAACCCCAGUGGCCUGCCAGGCAGCGUCCCGGACUCGCUCGCAGUCAUUGACGCGGCAAUUGUAAAUAAUUAAUGUGCGGUGGGCCCAAUUAGCAUCCAAGGAUUGUGGUACAUUCGCCGGAGUUGGUGGAUAACUGCGUUACACACGAAACUAAACUGGUUGGCGGAGAAAGGAUUACAAGGACUGCUGCCGCGGAAGCUGAUGAGGCAUAAAUGCUGCAUGAUCGAGAUUUGCAAGAGCAGCGACACGAUACAACUGCGAUAUCGCGGGACAACAAAAAUAGGAUAAGGAGAAAAUAACAUUGAAUCUGACACAUCACGAUUUGCCCUGGAAAGGAGCUGAAAAAAGACCGGCCCUGCAGACUUGGAGGGUGGUGAAAACGGGCGAAAAUCGAACUACCCACUAAGCGGCAAAUAUCGGCAGAAAUAUCACCAAUCGCAAGUUAGAAGAUGUGGAGACAGAAAUACAUGUGAAACGUAUUCGACCGAACAGAAAUAAUAAUCACAAGAAUAAUCAGAAAAGCAAAGAAAAGCCAUCGUCAUUGUUGUCGACUUAUAGCCCAAAGGCCGGGUGGAGAACGCCGCGAAACGUGAUACAGCCAUUACUUUCGAUAUUCAAAUCGAACAUGUCUCGGUUAUUACAAAAAUUAUGUCAUUUGAUCCAAUUUAGUGCAUUCGUAAUUCUAACAACAUGUGUCCUCGGAAAUUUAAGUGCCUGGCAAGAAAACGUACGACCGAAACUCUAUGUUGAAUUGGGUUCAGAAGAUGUGUUACGAUUCGCGGGAAAUGAAACGGCCAUUGAUCAUUUCAAAUUGGUAUUACGAGAUGGAAACAGUUUACUGGUGGGAGCUAGGAACGUAGUCUUCAACCUGAGCAUACAUGACUUGACUGAACAACAACGACUCCUGUGGUCGUCGCCUGAAGAUGAUGUGAAAAUGUGCGUUAUGAAAGGAAAAGACGAGGAAGCAUGCCAGAAUUACAUCCGCACCAUGGUGAUAACGGCCCCCGGACGCUUGUUAAUAUGCGGGACAAAUUCAUUUCGUCCUAAAUGUCAUUAUUAUCAAAUUAAUGCAAACAACUACUCCCUUGAGGCAGAGAAGAGUGGACAAGUUGUCUGCCCGUACGACCCGAAACAUAAUUCGACUGCGGUUUUUGCAGACAAUGAAUUAUAUUCGGGAACGGUUGCCGACUUUAGUGGAAGUGAUCCUAUAAUUUAUCGAGAGCCUUUGCAGACGGAACAAUAUGAUAGUCUAAGCUUAAAUGCUCCGAAUUUCGUGGGAUCAUUCACACAGGGCGAAUUUGUGUAUUUCCUAUUUCGAGAAACAGCUGUUGAAUACAUAAAUUGCGGAAAGGCCGUAUAUUCACGAAUAGCAAGAGUUUGUAAAUGGGAUAAGGGAGGACCGAAUCGAUUUCGAAACCGGUGGACGUCCUUUUUAAAGUCUCGAUUAAAUUGCUCCAUGCCCGGGGAUUUCCCGUUCUACUUCAAUGAAAUUCAAGCGGCAAGUAGCCUUGUUGAAGGUUCCUACGGUCAUACAACUUCUCGGCUGAUUUAUGCAACGUUCACGACGCCGGUAAACGCUAUCCCAGGUUCAGCUGUUUGUGCAUUCUCGUUGCAGGACAUAUCGGAUACAUUUGAGGGAAAUUUCAAAGAGCAAAGUGGUAUCAACUCUAAUUGGCUUCCAGUAAAUAGUGCAAAGGUUCCGGAUCCACGACCCGGCUCAUGCCACAAUGACUCUCGCACUCUUCCAGAACUUACUUUAAAUUUUAUUAAAACUCAUUCACUAAUGGAUGAAAAUGUGCCAGCAUUUUUCGGUCAACCGAUAUUGGUUAGGACUAGCACUAUGUAUAAAUUUACGUAUAUAGCUGUUGAUCCGCAAAUAAAGACGCCCGGCGGUAAAACGUAUGAUGUUAUUUUCGUCGGAACAGAUCACGGUAAAGUGAUAAAAACAGUAAACGCAGAAUCAGCCGAUUCAAAUAAGAAAGUAAAUUCGGUUGUAAUCGAAGAACUUGACGUACUAACGAAAAAUGAACCAAUACGAAAUUUGGAAAUUGUACGAACUACGACGUAUGAUCAAGCAAAAGACGGAAACUUUGAUGAUGGCAAGCUUGUGAUCGUCACAGAUAGUGAAGUUGUAGCGAUUAAGUUGCAUCGAUGUAAUAGUGAUAAAAUUACAAGUUGCAGCGAGUGUGUAGCACUUCAAGAUCCUUAUUGCGCCUGGGAUAAAAUUGCUGGGAAAUGUCGUUCACAUGGUGCACCGAGGUGGCUUGAGGAAAAUUACUUCUAUCAGAAUGUUCAGACGGGGCAGCAUGCAGCAUGUCCGUCAGGGAAAAUGUCCAAAGAUGCUAAUGUGGGGGAACAGAAGGGAUAUCGUGAUAUGGAUUUAAUGGAUUCACAUAGAAAUAAGGAUGCUAGUGGUGGAGAAAUGAUAAAUAUUAUGCAAGAUAAAAAUUUUGAUGGCAGUGGACCACAAAUCUCUGCCGAUGUCAUAAACGCACAAUACUCAGUUGAAACAUUAGUGAUGGCUGUAUUAGCCGGAGCAAUAUUUGCCCUACUUGUGGGCUUCAUCACAGGCUACUUUUGUGGUAGACGUUGCCACAAAGACGAAGAUGAUAACUUACCAUAUCCAGACACGGAAUAUGAAUAUUUCGAACAACGACAAAAUGUUAACCGUAUUCAAGCUGAACCGAAACUUCUUCCGCAAGUCGAAGAAGUGACAUAUGCUGAACCAGUUCUUCUACCUCAAGCAUCUAGUCAAAACAAAAUACAACAUUCGCCAAAAAAUACAUUAAGAAAACCAAUGCACCAUCACGGAGCCAAUUCCGAAACGCUCUUCCAAUUUCAACCCGAUGGUUAUAAUACUCGUGACACAUAUCGUGGACGUGAUAAUUUCGGUACAUUAAGGUCUCAUCAGGUAUUGGGUGACAAUUACCGACGCGGAGAUGGAUUUUCGACAACACGCAGCGUGAAGAAGGUAUAUCUUUGAGACGGGAGUGGGGCGGCUGAGACCAGUCAGGGACUCAUUAAUCAAAAUCAAAUGUAACUCAACAUCGUUCCGAUAGUCCACAAAAUUCAAGUUCAGGAUCAUCGCCUGUUAUGUCACAUAGUAGUUCUAGUCCUGCGCCACCAUCAAGUAGUCCGAGUCCACAAGAGAGCCCGAAAAACUGUAGUUAUAUAU